UACGAAGGGGGCUAGCGUUGCUCGGAAUGACUGGGCGUAAAGAGCGUGUAGGCGGCCUGAAAGGUCAGCUGUGAAAACUCGAGGCUCAACCUCGAGACGUCGGUUGAAACCAUCUGGCUAGAGUCCGGAAGAGGAGUGUGGAAUUCCCGGUGUAGCGGUGAAAUGCGCAGAUAUCGGGAAGAACACCCGUGGCGAAGGCGGCGCUCUGGGACGGUACUGACGCUGAGACGCGAAAGCGUGGGGAGCGAACAGG
rnacentral:rRNA from 1 species